GGAGCUCUGAUUAAGAAGCAGCAACAAGCAGAGGAAGAAGUCUGUGCUGUGAGGAGCUGCCCAUGAAAAAUAUCACCGAGAAGAGGUGUUACCAGGCUCAACACCUUCCAUAUUGUCAUCUCUCAGUGACAGCACUGCUUUACUGAGCCUUUGCUCUGAGCUCCUCUGUCCCAGGGAAGGGCACCCCAGCAGAGGGAUGCUGUGGAUUUUGGGAGCUGUGAGUAUAUCCCAGGAGCCACAUCCCCAUGUCCUUCAGAAGAUUCACUAAGGUAAAAACUGUCUGGCUUAUUGUUACACCUGAACAAAUUCCAAGUAAAAGGCAUCUGAGGGAGGCCACAGCAGUCACCAAGGAUGUGCAGAUGAGAUGAUGGCAUACAGCUGGGAACUUCAAGCUGAGUUAGCACUGAAAAUUUGGAUCCUGCCAGUCCCAGACAGAGCAGCCUCAGCGUUUCAGGGCUCCUGGAGUGGUUUUGUGCUCGCAGUGGAGAGGGGUCCGGAGCAGAGCUGCAAUGGGUUCACACCACAUGCCAGAAAACUUCCCCUGGCCCCAUCCAGUGAACUUUGAACCUCCCAUAGCCCAGAUCAACACCUAAAAUCACUGCAAGAUUCCACAGUAGGAGAGCAAGAAGGACAAAGUGCAGAAACAGUUUGGUUCAGCUUUACAGGUAGAGAGAAUUCAUUAGCAAUUUAUCACAUUCCCUCCCUGCUCAUCCUCUCUAAUAUACCAUCGUGAUGGUGAAUGUCACUUGCUCAGGAAGGACAAGGAAGAAAUUGAGUUAUUCCAGUGGGGCUGGAGAACCGGCCAUGUUGAUGCAGCUCCAUCAGCAGGACAUUCCAAGGGCUUCUGUGGCUCAGAACAUCCUGGCUUCCACAGCUCUUUCUUAAUAAAGAGUAACAGACAUCUCAAA